AUUGAACGCUGGCGGCAUGCCUUACACAUGCAAGUCGAACGGUAACAGGUCUUCGGAUGCUGACGAGUGGCGAACGGGUGAGUAAUACAUCGGAACGUGCCUAGUAGUGGGGGAUAACUACUCGAAAGAGUGGCUAAUACCGCAUGAGAUCUACGGAUGAAAGCAGGGGAUCGCAAGACCUUGUGCUACUAGAGCGGCCGAUGGCAGGUUAGGUAGUUGGUGGGAUAAAAGCUUACCAAGCCGACGAUCUGUAGAUGGUCUGAGAGGACGAUCAGCCACACUGGGACUGAGACACGGCCCAGACUCCUACGGGAGGCAGCAGUGGGGAAUUUUGGACAAGGGGCGAGAGCCUGAUCCAGCAAUGCCGCGUGCAGGAUGAAGGCCUUCGGGUUGUAAACUGCUUUUGUACGGAACGAAAAGCCCCGGGUUAAUACCCUGGGGUCAUGACGGUACCGUAAGAAUAAGCACCGGCUAACUACGUGCCAGCCGCCGCAGUAA
rnacentral:rRNA from 1 species